rnacentral:rRNA from 1 species
AACGAACGCUGGCGGCAUGCCUAACACAUGCAAGUCGAACGAGACCUUCGGGUCUAGUGGCGCACGGGUGCGUAACGCGUGGGAACCUGCACUUAGGUUCGGAAUAACUCCCCGAAAGGGGUGCUAAUACCGGAUAAUGUCUUCGGCCCAAAGAUUUAUCGCCUUUGGAUGGGCCCGCGUUGGAUUAGCUAGUUGGUAGGGUAAAAGCCUACCAAGGCGACGAUCCAUAGCUGGUCUGAGAGGAUGAUCAGCCACACUGGGACUGAGACACGGCCCAGACUCCUACGGGAGGCAGCAGUGGGGAAUAUUGGACAAUGGGCGAAAGCCUGAUCCAGCAAUGCCGCGUGAGUGAUGAAGGCCUUAGGGUUGUAAAGCUCUUUUACCCGGGAUGAUAAUGACAGUACCGGGAGAAUAAGCUCCGGCUAACUCCGUG